AAGCUUUUUGUGAGGGGUCUUGCUAUUCUGGUCAAGUUAAUUGCAAGAAAGUAUGGUCGAGUUUGAUAUCAAAUGAAAGUGCUCGGUUUAUAUAUUCAUAAUAUUGUUUUUAAUUUAAGAUUUUAAAAUAAUUAGCAAGAUAAAAAGAAAUAAAAUAAUCAUAAUAUUACUAAGCUGCAUGGAACGCUAAGAACACGGCAGUUGCAAGCUGAAAAGAUAUUGUUUAAAUUUAAGUUUAAAAGUAUGUAAUGUUUUUAAGUUACGUAUUGGAGGGGGUAUGUUGUUCCAGCAUUUCGUGGCAGAAUAGCGAAAACUGCCACGAAACGCUGCGCAACCGCCGCGUCUCGGACAGAGAAGUCGAAUGGCAUCUCUCAUUGGGCGGGAGGAGAACGACAACUUGUUAAAAAGGUAUUGGGGCUGUUGGAAUUUUACUACACCGAAAAGUAGGGUCGCAAAAUGCAACGAACGACGUGCUUCCAUUUUCAACAUCUUACCACUGUUAAGAUAAGGGGUGACAUGAGUACGUGGAGGGAUGGGGAAACAGAAACGGGCACAAGCAUUCUGGAUGCGUUGAAGGAGUGCCUUCGAACGCGCCAGUAAGCAACCAUUAAUCACAGUGUCGACAUAGUUGAGUUUGGAUAAUAUUAAAGUGUCGCAUAAUUUUAUUCUAAGGUCGACACUGAGAUAUUGACGAACCUGAUAUAGUACUUUCAAUCUAUAGUAGCAGUUUUUAGCGACAUCGAGUACAUUUUGUUCAAAACGCAAGCCCUCGUCUAAGAGUAGGCCGAGGUUACGGGCUGCAGAGACUCGUUCGAGGCGUUCCCUCCCGAGCAUAACAUUAAUAUCAAACCUGGUGACUUUGUCAACUUGGCCUUUAGUGCCAAGCACUAGAAACUUUGACUUGUUGGGGUUAAGGACUAAGUCACACUGUCCAGACCAAACGUCGAUACGAUCAAGAUCCUGAUUCAACAGCUCCACAGCAGUUUGUGUCUCCCGAGGAUGGAACGUUUUAUAAAUUUGUAGGUCAUCUGCAUACAUGUGAUAGUGACAGUUCUUUAUACAACUAGCAAUGUCUGCCACGUACAAAAUAAACAAAACGGGACCCAAAAUCGACCCCUGAGGGACUCCGCAAUUUACAGAUACAUUUAAAGAGUAAUCUGUUAGUCCAGAAUAAUUACGAAGCCCAACUUUCUGCGAACGGCCAGAGAGAUAGCUAUCAAACCAUUUUAUGGUUCCGACGUCGAAACCAUAGUAAGCAAGUUUA